UACGUAGGGGGCUAGCGUUGUCCGGAAUCAUUGGGCGUAAAGGGCGCGUAGGCGGCUUGAUAAGUCAAAGGUGAAAUCCCUCGGCUCAACUGAGGAACUGCCUUUGAAACUGUCAGACUUGAGGCCGGGAGGGGGUAGCGGAAUUCCCAGUGUAGCGGUGAAAUGCGUAGAUAUUGGGAGGAACACCGGUGGCGAAGGCGGCUACCUGGACCGGUUCUGACGCUGAUGCGCGAAAGCGUGGGUAGCAAACAGG
rnacentral:rRNA from 1 species